rnacentral:rRNA from 1 species
GAUGAACGCUAGCGGCAGGCUUAAUACAUGCAAGUCGUGGGGCAGCAUGAGUAGCAAUACUUGAUGGCGACCGGCAAACGGGUGCGGAACACGUACACAACCUUCCUUCAAGCGGGGAAUAGCCCAGAGAAAUUUGGAUUAAUACCCAUAAAAUAUAAAAUGGCAUCAUUAUACAUUAAGGCUUCGGCACUUGAUGAUGGGUGUGCGGCUGAUUAGAUAGUUGGCGAGGUAACGGCUCACCAAGUCUACGAUCAGUAGCUGAUGUGAGAGCAUGAUCAGCCACACGGGCACUGAGACACGGGCCCGACUCCUACGGGAGGCAGCAGUAAGGAAUAUUGGACAAUGGACGAAAG